ACGAAGGGGGCUAGCGUUGCUCGGAAUCACUGGGCGUAAAGCGCACGUAGGCGGAUCGUUAAGUCAGGGGUGAAAUCCUGGAGCUCAACUCCAGAACUGCCUUUGAUACUGGCGACCUUGAGUUCGGGAGAGGUGAGUGGAACUGCGAGUGUAGAGGUGAAAUUCGUAGAUAUUCGCAAGAACACCAGUGGCGAAGGCGGCUCACUGGCCCGAUACUGACGCUGAGGUGCGAAAGCCAGGGGAGCAAACGGGA
rnacentral:rRNA from 1 species